GACGAACGCUGGCGGCGUGCUUAACACAUGCAAGUCGGACGCUGAAGCUCAGCUUUUGUUGGGUGGAUGAGUGGCGAACGGGUGAGUAACACGUGAGUAACCUGCCUCCUUCUUUGGGAUAACGCCCGGAAACGGGUGCUAAUACUGGAUAUUCACUGGUCUUCGCAUGGGGGUUGGUGGAAAGGGUUUUUCUGGUGGGGGAUGGGCUCGCGGCCUAUCAGCUUGUUGGUGGGGUGAUGGCCUACCAAGGCUUUGACGGGUAGCCGGCCUGAGAGGGUGACCGGUCACAUUGGGACUGGGAUACGGCCCAGACUCAUACGGGAGGCAGCAGUGGGGAAUAUUGCACAAUGGGCGCAAGCCUGAUGCAGCGACGCCGCGUGAGGGAUGGAGGCCUUCGGGUUGUGAACCUCUUUCGCUCAUGGUCAAGCCGCAACAAUGGUUGUGGUGAGGGUAGUGGGUAAAGAAGCGCCGGCUAACUACGUG
rnacentral:rRNA from 1 species